AUGGUCAAGCUACAAAGAGCGCAAGGGGAAUGCCUUGGCACUGAGAGCCGAAGAAGGACGCGACUAACUGCGAUAAGCCACGGGGAGCCGUAAGUGGGCGCUAUAUCCGUGGAUUUCCGAAUGGAGCAAUCCGGCUGGAGUCAUGUCCAGUCAUCGUGCACUGAAUCCAUAGGUGUACGAGGGGAACCGCCUGAACUGAAACAUCUAAGUAGGGCGAGGAAGAGAAAUCAACCGAGAUUCCGCUAGUAGUGGCGAGCGAACGCGGAAGAGGCCAAACCAGAGGUAGCAAUACCUCUGGGGUUCGGACAGCAACAUGUACGCAGCGAUCUAGCAGAAUGGUUUGGGAAAGCCAACGAAACAGUGUGAGAGUCACGUAUGCGAAAGGUCAAAGCGGCUAGCUGUAUCCAGAGUACCGCCGGACACGUGAAACCCGGUGGGAAGAUGGGGGGACCACCCUCCAAGCCUAAAUACUACUCAGUGACCGAUAGUGUAGAGUACUGUGAAGGAAAGGUGAAAAGGACCCCGGAAGGGGAGUGAAAAAGAACCUGAAACCUUGUGCUUACAAGCACCGAGAGCUCGUCAAAGAGUGAUCGGGUACCUUUUGUAGAAUGGUCCGGCGAGUGUGUGUAACUGGCAAGGUUAAGGACUUCAGGUCCGGAGCCGCAGCGAGAGCGAGUCUGAAUAGGGCGUAUGAAGUCAGUUGUACACGACCCGAAACCGGGUGACCUACCCAUGUCCAGGUUGAAGUGGAGGUAAAACUCCAUGGAGGACCGAACCGACUCCCGUUGAAAUGGUAGCGGAUGAGGUGUGGGUAGCGGAGAAAUUCCAAUCGAACCCGGAGAUAGCUGGUUCUCUCCGAAAUAGCUUUAGGGCUAGCCUCGUAUUAGAUUACCGGAGGUAAAGCACUGAAUGGUCUAGGGGCCGAGAGGCUACCGAAACCUAUCAAACUCAGAAUGCCGGAUAAUUGAUGUACGGGAGUCAGACAGUGUGAGAUAAGUUUCAUUGUCAAAAGGGAAACAGCCCAGACCCACAGCUAAGGUCCCAAAAUAUUGUUAAGUGGAAAAGGAUGUGGGGUUGC
rnacentral:rRNA from 1 species